rnacentral:rRNA from 1 species
AGCGAACGCUGGCGGCAGGCUUAACACAUGCAAGUCGGGCGGGCACUUUCGGGUGUCAGCGGCGGACGGGUGAGUAACGCGUGGGAACGUGCCCUCCGGUUCGGAAUAACUCAGGGAAACUUGAGCUAAUACCGGAUACGCCCUUUUGGGGAAAGGCUUGCUGCCGGAGGAUCGGCCCGCGUCUGAUUAGCUAGUUGGUGAGGUAACGGCUCACCAAGGCGACGAUCAGUAGCUGGUCUGAGAGGAUGAUCAGCCACACUGGGACUGAGACACGGCCCAGACUCCUACGGGAGGCAGCAGUGGGGAAUAUUGGACAAUGGGCGCAAGCCUGAUCCAGCCAUGCCGCGUGAGUGAUGAAGGCCUUAGGGUUGUAAAGCUCUUUUAUCCGGGACGAUAAUGACGGUACCGGAGGAAUAAGCCCCGGCUAACUUCGUG